rnacentral:rRNA from 1 species
CGGAAUUACUGGGCGUAAAGGGCUCGUAGGUGGUUUGUCGCGUCGUCUGUGAAAUUCCGGGGCUUAACUCCGGGCGUGCAGGCGAUACGGGCAUAACUUGAGUACUGUAGGGGUAACUGGAAUUCUUGGUGUAGCGGUGAAAUGCGCAGAUAUCAGGAGGAACACCGAUGGCGAAGGCAGGUUACUGGGCAGUUACUGACGCUGAGGAGCGAAAGCAUGGGUAGCGAACAGGAUUAGAUACCCUGGUAGUCAAGGGCG